GUCUAGUUCAUAAAGCACAGCAGAUUUCGAGACUAACUGCAGCUUUCUUGAGUAACACAGAAAAUGAAGGAAUUGCUGUCUUGACUUUGAGGAGCUAAGUAUGCAAGAAACUUCAGGGCUCAACUCACACCAAAAUAUAACUUUUUUUAAUAAACAGACAUUGCAGCGGGGAAAUAAGUGAUAAAAUAACAUUUGGAGUAUCUCAGAAUGUUAAGAUGAACUGUUAACUUCCUUUGACUUUUUUUCUUUCCUCUCUAUAGGCUGGUAGAAGCGGAAAGACAGUUGCAGAAUUGGAAAAAACAAUUGGUUUGAUGAAAAAGGUUGUAGAGAGAGUCCAAAGAGAAAAUGAGGAUCUGAAAAAAACUCCAGCUGUGGUUUCUAAUGAGAAAUUACUUGGUCUUGAACAGGAAAAUGAGAAGCUAAAGUCUGAAAUGGAAAAGAUGAAACUUCAGGUGGGGGACCAGCUGAGUAUGCGUCAUGACUCUAAAACCAAAGGAAUGGAAAAAGUCAUUACUGAAAACGAGAGGCUGCGUAAAGAACUGAAAAAGGAAGCUGACAAUGGAGAGAAGCUACGAAUAGCAAAGAAUAACUUGGAGGUAUUAAAUGAGAAGUUAACAGGGCAGCUGGAGGAAACCAUUAAGAGGCUAAAUCUGGCUGAGAGCCAAAUUGAUGGAGCUGACAGCAAAACCUGGAAGCCCAUUGUAACAAGGAUGCACAAAACGAAGAUAAAGGAAAUGGAAAUGCAUAUUGCUAAAAAAACCCAAAGCAUUACUGACCUUAAACAGCUGCUGCAGGAAGCAACAGAACGUGAACAGAAUGCUGAUAAAAACUUACAAGAUCUAAAAGAACAAAUUGAGCUUCUCAAACAGUUUCCUGAAGGUACAAGGACAGAGCAAAGCCUUUUCAGGGAGCUUCAGCUUUUAAGAUUAACUAAUAACCGAUUAGAGAAAGACAAAGCAGAACUAGCUCAGCAGGUGGAAGAUUAUAAGCACCACAUGCACACAUGUACAAGCGAAGUUUCUGCAGCUGGUAAUCGUUUUCAAUACUAAAAUGAUGAUCCUCCUGUAUUUGGGGCCUUAAGUAAAAAUAGGUUAAAAUGUAUGUGCAAAAUGGUAAUAAACCUACAGAAUUAUGUGAAUUAUGUUAAUUACAGAGUAGCGUAAACUGGAGCAAAUUAAGGUCCUGGAUUUUGGAGUUACUUUCACAAGGGGUUUAUAGAGAAGUGUUAACUAAUUGCGGAGAUUUUUAAGAUCUUACGAACAAGAGCUCGUAAUAUUUGUCAGAUUUCCCUUUCCAAGAGGAUGUAUAGUUCAUCGCUUUGCUUUAUAAACCUCAAAAGACUUCUUGUGUCAGUCAUUCACUGAAAUCCUCCUGCUUAUUACCCCUUCUGCCUUGGGUUGGAAGCUGCCAUAGAAUUCUAUUCAUCUCUUCCCAGAUACCAGCUCUGCAAAUAGUUUAAGACUCCCAAGGGAAAAGCAGAGCACUAUAGAGCAGCACGUUGCCGUAUGACUGGGAAAAGAAAAACUAACCCUUUCUGAAAUUAUGAUUAUAGUUAACAAGAUCCUUACACUACGUUAUUGCCAAAUUUCCUGCAUUUAACUCAGAGAAACUGAAUGCAGGACUGGCAAUGGGAGCACUGCAUUCAGUUACAGGAGCCAGACACACCCACUUAAUUUGUGUAAGAACUAAAGCCCAAGUGACUUGAAUUUUUGGUGGUUGUUGAUCCCCAUUGGGUUUACACACUGUUACAAAUUGUUCAGCUUUCAGGGGAUGCAGAAUUACUGUGACAAGAUAACUCGUAUCAUUGUUUUUCAUUACCUUAAAUUUUGUAACAAAUUACCAUGACUUUUGCAGGACAGAAUGAAAUUUUACAGAAGGAUAAAAGUGACAGGUUAAUGGAAGCAGCUGACCUCCAGACACAGUUGAAAGCCUCUGAGCUGGAGAAACAGCAAUUAAGGGAAGAAACAAAAGCGCUGAGAAGAGAACUAGAAAACUAUGGCCCUUCCUUUUUUGAAGAAAUUGAAGAUCUGAAAUAUAACUACAGUGAAGAAGUUAAAAAAAAUAUUAUCUUAGAAGAGAAACUAAAGCAGCUUUCUGAAGAGUUUGGCAUUCAAGGGGAUAGUCCAGGCAAUGUUUCUGUUGAUUAGGCUAGUGUUUAGUGUCCUCAGUAUUAAUACAGUAAAUAAAUUCGGGGGCAAUUUCAUAAUAUUUAUUUUAUCUGUUUUUUAUCUCGGAAUAAUACAAGUCUAUUGAAGUUACAAUAGUUUGGCACAUACCUAAGAGCACAGAAUUGGAUUAGUCGACAGAUUAUGGUCAGUAUUUAUAUACACCAGUCAAAAAUGAGUUUUACUUCUCCCAGCCCCUUUGCAAUACUGUAUCUUAAUUUAGAACAGUAAUUUGAGUUAUACACAGGUGUUAAGCGAAGUUGAAACCUUGGACUUACCCUGUAAGUCAAGAAACUCUUAAAAUGUACCAAGUCUGCCAAGUUCCAGACCAGUAAAAACGUGCAAUUCGUUCUGCUGUCUCGCGCUAUCAUCCUUAACUGUGGACUCAGGGUCAGUGUGCUGACUACCUGCGCUUACAUCCCUGACUGUUUUUACCUCAAAUUUUAGAAAAUCCAAGAACAAAGAAUUGAAAAUAAAGUUAUAGUAGUAUUUCAACCAAUCUAAUGGUGUUUUGGUAUUUAAAUAAUUUUUCAUUUUGUAUAUUUUAUAUAGCUGGAUGUAUACUUUUACAGCACAAAUAAA